rnacentral:rRNA from 1 species
ACUCCUACGGGAGGCAGCAGUGGGGAAUAUUGCACAAUGGGGGAAACCCUGAUGCAGCCAUGCCGCGUGUGUGAAGAAGGCCUUCGGGUUGUAAAGCACUUUCAGUAGGGAGGAAGGUAGUGUAGUUAACACCUGCACUAUUUGACGUUACCUACAGAAGAAGCACCGGCUAACUCCGUGCCAGCAGCCGCGGUAAUAUGGAGGGUGCGAGCGUUAAUCGGAAUUACUGGGCGUAAAGCGCAUGCAGGCGGCCUGUUAAGUCAGAUGUGAAAGCCCGGGGCUUAACCUCGGAAUUGCAUUUGAAACUGGCAGGCUAGAGUCUUGUAGAGGGGGGUAGAAUUUCAGGUGUAGCGGUGAAUGCGUAGAGAUCUGAAGGAAUACCAGUGGCGAAGGCGGCCCCCUGGACAAAGACUGACGCUCAGAUGCGAAAGCGUGGGGAGCAAACAGGAUUAGAUACCCUGGUAGCACAGAG